UACGUAGGGGGCAAGCGUUGUCCGGAAUCAUUGGGCGUAAAGAGCGUGUAGGCGGCCAGAUAAGUCCGCUGUGAAAACUCGAGGCUCAACUUCGAGCUGUCGGCGGAAACUAUCUGGCUAGAGUCCGGAAGAGGAGAGUGGAAUUCCUGGUGUAGCGGUGAAAUGCGCAGAUAUCAGGAGGAACACCGGUGGCGAAGGCGGCACUCUGGGCCGGUACUGACGCUGAGGAGCGAAAGCGUGGGGAGCGAACAGG
rnacentral:rRNA from 1 species